ACAUGGCCGACGUGGAUCAAACUGUAGUAUCUGUUCUUCUCAGCCUAAUAUCUGAUAGGGGUUGUAUUCGGACCUAAAAUAUUAAACUUAUUUUUUGCAAAUUGCCGGAAUACUUCAAGUCUGCUUCACCUCCGUCACAUGUGGGCCUGGUAUUGCACUGUCUUCGGGAUAUGCACACGUAUG